rnacentral:ncRNA from 1 species
CGAUAGAGGCGCGAAAUUGAUAAGUACUCUGCAAAAAGGGCGGUCGCCCGCGCAGAAGAAAGGCAAUAUCGCCGAAGCGGAUCCGCGCUCGACCGAAGCAGUAUCCGCUGGGCCAUGACGAAAAACGUCCUGGACUGUCACAAGUAAUUGUGGAGAGCUAUUGUA